rnacentral:rRNA from 1 species
GCCAUGCAUGCCCGCGCACCCGAGGAGGCGGCGGACUGCUCACGACAACGGUUGCACCCCCCGCGGCGGUCCCUGCUAGCCGGACACCGCUGGCAACCCGGCGCCAAGACGUGCGCGCAAGGGCGGGCGCCCGCGGGCGAGCAGCGUGACGCACCGACGGCCCGCCCGGGCUUCCGGGGCAUCACCCGGUCGGCGCGGUCGCGGCGCGCCGAGGGCCCGACGCCUGGCGGAGA